AAUCUGUGAUAAACCACGUUUUUGGACUAUGAUGAAUCCAACAACAAAGAACAAGUUCUGUCUACAUCUGUAAACAGUUUUUACUUCAAAAUAAUCUAAAAAAACGAAACAGAUACAUGACAGUGGUUGUUGUGCCACAAAUGAAAGUCUUCGAUUUGAAAAAUAUUCACACUCCACAAGCACGUUGGAGGCUCCAGUGAAAGCAGACUCAUACUCUGUUUCAUAAACAGCUAAGAAAUAAUCCAAAACGUUUAUGUGCCAGGUAUCAUGGCUGAUCUCCUAAAAUAGUCUCCAACCACCAUUUUCUUUUUAAAUAUGCAUUGUGGAGCACAUUGUGUUGGAACGCAUUGUGCACAGUUCAUUCUGCUGAGCCAAAAGAGCAAUUAAAAGGAAAUAUGUGAGCAUAAGCUGAGAACAGAUGUCGCAUGCUGUGAUUUCUACAGUUAAGAGUGGCAACAAAUCAGCAGUGCCACAACAUUU